GACAGAGGUGCCAAGCGUUAGGCGGAAUCACUGGGCUUAAAGCGUGUGUAGGCGGACUUGUAAGUACCUUGUGAAAUCCCACGGCUCACCCGUGGAACUGCUGGGUAUACUGCGAGUCUUGAGCCACUUAGGGGCUGUCGGAACAGGCGGUGGAGCGGUGAAAUGCGUAGAUAUCGCCUGGAACGCCAAAGGUGAAAACAGACAGCUGGGAGUGUGCUGACGCUGAGACACGAAAGCCAGGGGAGCGAACGGG
rnacentral:rRNA from 1 species